GAGCUGACAAUGAAUAGCACUUACUCAUGCUUUAAAACUGGGAAGGUGCUCCAGCCCUCUGAUCACCUUUGUGGCCCUCCUCUGGACCUUAUUCAACAACUCCAUGUCCUUCUUGUGUUGUGAGCACCAGAACUGGAUGCAGUACUCCAGGUGGAGUCUCACAAGAGCACAGCAGAGGGCAGAAUCACCUCCCUCAACCUCCUGGUCACACUUCUCU
rnacentral:lncRNA from 1 species